GGUGAGUAUGUCUGGGAAACCUGCCCGAUGGAAGGGGGAUAACUACCGGAAAACGUGGGCCUAUUACCCGCCAUAACCGUCCCAAGAACCCAAAGAAGGGGGACCGGUCCGGGCCCUCCUUGCCAUCAGAUGUGCCCAGAUGGGAUUAGCUUGUUGGUGAGGUAACGGCUCACCAAGGCGACGAUCCCCUAGACUGGUCUGAGAGGAUGACCAGCCACACUGGAACUGAGACACGGUCCAGACUCCUACGGGAGGCAGCAGUGGGGAAUAUUGCACAAUGGGCGCAAGCCUGAUGCAGCCAUGCCGCGUGUAUGAAGAAGGCCUUCGGGUUGUAAAGUACUUUCAGCGGGGAGGAAGGUGUUGUGGUUAAUAACCGCAGCAAUUGACGUCACCCGCAGAAGAAGCACCGGCUAACUCCGUGCCAGCAGCCGCGGUAAUACGGAGGGUGCAGCGUUAAUCGGAAUACUGGGCGUAAGCGCACGCACGCGGUCUGUCAGUCGAUGUGAAAUCCCGGCUCAACGGGAACUGCAUCGAACUGCAGCUGAGUCUGUAAGGGGUAAUCAGUUACGUAAUCUAAUUGAGAUCGGCAGGCCGCACACUGCACUGCCAACGUU
rnacentral:rRNA from 1 species